GUAGUUCAAGGCCGGGGCGCAGUGCUGCGCGGAGGAGCAAGACCUGCAGUGUCCUGAGCUCCAGAGCCCGCCAGUUCCUCAACCCGCAGCAGGAGUCCCUCCGCUGGAGGAUCGGACUGUGAUACUGGAGCUCCCACUCAGCCACUAGCCCAGCUCUAGGAACUUGACCUUGAGCAAAUGUUCUUCUCCUCUGCCUGUUGCCUGGAAUAUCACCCAGCCAAGUUCUUGGGAACUCAGAUUUAUUUAUUUGACAGGCAGAGAGAGGUGGAAGCAGGCUCCCUGCUGAGCAGAGAGCCUGAUGCAGGGUUCCAUCCCAGGACCCUGGGGUCAUGACCUGAGCCGAAGACAAAGGCUUUAACCCACUGAGCCACCCAGGCGCCCCUCGUUGGUUCAUUUCUUCCUUCACCAGCAGACUGUGGGUUGGGCUCAAGACCACUCCACGCUCUCCUUGGGCCAGCACAGCAAGCACAGAGGUUCAAGAGACCAAGCCAAACAGCACAAACAUUUUUAAUCCUAUGCUCUGCUCACAUCCACUGACAUGCCAUUACCAGUCAGGCGACCAAGCCCGCCAUCAGCCCGGUGGGAAAGUG